rnacentral:rRNA from 1 species
GACGAACGCUGGCGGCGUGCCUAAUACAUGCAAGUAGAACGCAGUUGCGAACGGGUGAGUAACGCGUAGGUAACCUGCCUCAUAGAGGGGGAUAACUAUGGGAAACGAUAGCUAAUAACGCAUAAUGUGAGAUGGACCUGCGUUGUAUUAGCUAGUUGGUGAGGUAAAGGCUCACCAAGGCGACGAUACAUAGCCGACCUGAGAGGGUGAUCGUCCACACUGGGACUGAUCCCCGUCCCAGACUCCUCCGGGAGGAAGCCGUAGGGAAUCUUGUGCAAUGGGCGCAAGCCUGAUGCAGCCAUGCCGCGUGUAUGAAGAAGUCCUUCGGGUUGUAAAGUACUUUCAGCGGGGAGGCGUUACCCGCAGAAGAAGCACCGGCUAACUCCGUGCCAGCAGCCGCGGUAAUAC